AUUGAACGCUGGCGGCAUGCCUUACACAUGCAAGUCGAACGGUAACAGGUCUUCGGGUGCUGACGAGUGGCGAACGGGUGAGUAAUACAUCGGAACGUGCCCGAUCGUGGGGGAUAACGAAGCGAAAGCUUUGCUAAUACCGCAUAAGAUCUACGGAUGAAAGCAGGGGACCGCAAGGCCUUGCGCGAACGGAGCGGCCGAUGGCAGAUUAGGUAGUUGGUGGGAUAAAAGCUUACCAAGCCGACGAUCUGUAGCUGGGCUGAGAGGAUGAUCAGCCACACUGGGACUGAGACACGGCACAGACUCCUGCGGGAGGCAGCAGUGGGGAAUUUUGGACAAUGGGGGCAACCCUGAUCCAGCCAUGCCGCGUGCAGGAUGAAGGCCUUCAGGUUGUAAACUGCUUUUGUACGGAACGAAAAGACUCUGGUUAAUACCUGGGGUCCAUGACGGUACCGUAAGAAUAAGCACCGGCUAACUACGUGCCAGCAGCCGCGGUAACAC
rnacentral:rRNA from 1 species